AGGUGAUAUAUUGAAAAUAGGUAUAUGAAAUUAAUAUUAUUUUAAGGAUAAUUAAUCAAAAUUUAAAAUAUGAUAUAAAGAUAUUAAAUAUCAAUCAUAAUCAUGAAAAUGAGAAAAAGGAAAAGCUAAUGGAAUGAAACAUCUGAGUAAUUAGUAAAAGAACCAACAGGGAAAAUAUAAGUAACGGUGAGUGAAAAUAUAAAAAAUCUAAAAGUAUUACCAUGAGGUAAGAAUAUAGUAGUUUCCUACUUCUAAGGAUAAAAAAGAAAUUUUAGAUAAAAGUACUGCAAAGGAAAAUUAAGAAAUAGAAUAAUAAAGAGCAGUCAUAGUAUGGCGUACCUCUUGUAUAAUGGGCCAGUGAGUUAUAUAAUUUAGUGAAAAAGAGAUUUUUAGAUAUAAUUAGAUUCUUAAUUAAAUUAUAUAGGCCCGAAAGCAAACGAUCUACAUAUGUCCAAGUAUAUAUAUAAUUUAUAUAUGACUCAAUAGGUAAUUGUAGCAAUAAUUUCUAAAGAGAUGUGUGUAGUUGUGACAGACAAAUCUGGUUUGCAGAUAGCUGGUUUUCUGCGAAAUAUAUUUUAGUAUAGCCUUUAUCUUUUUUAAACUGGUACAGCACUUAAAUAAAUUUGGGGAAUUAGAAUAUAAUUUUAUCAAAAUAUUUAAACCUCGGAAUCAGUUAAUAAUUAAGAUAAGGAGUCAGACUUAUUGCGAUAAGGUAUUAAGUCGAGAAGGAAACAACCUAGACUAUUAAAUGUAUGUCCCAAAUAUUAAUUAAGUGAAUAAAAUCUAUCUUAUAUUAAACGUAGAAAAUACGGAGAAUUAAAUUAUAGACAAUUAGUAAGUGGGUUUGACAAUAAUCAAUUUUUAAUGAACAUGUAACAAUGCACUAAUUUUAUAUAUAUAUUUUUCUAUAUAUUUAUUAAUAAUAGAGAAAAUAUACGGGUCUAAAUUAAUAACAGUAUUAUAGAUAUAAUAAAAGGAUUAUAUGGUAGCAGAAUAUAUAAUAAAAAAUUAUAAAGAGAUUGCUGGCUUGAGUAACGAUAGAUAAUAUAAGAUUAUCCCCUUAUUCAUAAGGUUUAAUUAUAAACGAACGGUCCCUAAGAUUAUAUAUAGAAAUAGAAAAUUAAUGGGAGAAAGAACAAGAAAAAAAGAAUGAACCGUACUGUAAACCGACACAGGUAUGAUAAUAAAGGGAAUGAGAUAACUACUUUGAAUGAACUCGGCAAAAUAAAUCGUGCGACUGUUUACCAAAAACAUAGCUUAUUGCAUACUAGUAAUAGUAAGUAUAAUAAGUGAUAUCUGCCCGGUGUUAGUUAAAUAAAUAUAAGUAUUAAAAAGAUAUUUAUAUAAAUAACUGAUAAACGGCGGUCUUAUUGUGAGGAUCCGAAGGUAGCGGUGCGACAAGAAGUUCGUAUUAAGAAUGUGGUGUAAUUCCACUAACAACUAUCAUAUUUGUUAAAUCUAUCUUAACAUGCAUUAUGAGCAAUUAUUUUGUAUGAAGCUUAAGAGACAAAUGGUGAUAAGCUUUAACUGAUAUAAGUGAAUUCAUCAAGAUUAGAAUGACAUGAUUAGUAUAUCAAAACAGUGGAUUAAAAUUUCGUUAAAGGAAAAUAACAAGAUCAGUAGGGGUUAUAAAAAUGACAAGAAAGAAAAUCAUCGCUGCAGAUUUAUUUAUAUGAUUGAAAAAACAACAAGAGUCAUCGGAAUAUAGCUGUAAUCUAAAUCAUUCAAUAAAAGUCUUAAUACGGGAACUUGGUAAACCUUUAAUAUCCCUAUAUAUAUAUAUAGGAAGUAAUGUAUAAAAUAAUUAAGCAAAUUAUGGAAAUAAUUAUAUAGUAUUGAAGGUAAAGGAGAAACAGAAAAAGCGAAAGGUUUUAUGUAAUUUAAAACAUAUAGAUAAAUAUCUAAUUUCGAAAGAAAGCAGACUUCUGUAUAAGGCUAUAUAAAGAUAUAUAGUUUGAGCCGUGUGCGAUGAAAGCCGCAUGCACGGUUCUAGAGGGGGGAAAGUCUGAGAGGACCUACCUAUCCUAACAAAUUCAUUGACGUAUAAUUGACGUCCAGCAUGAAUGAAUAAACGAUGCGAUAACUGUAUCCAAAGUAGACUCAGUGAAAUAGCAAUUGCGGUGAGUUUUUGUACUAUAUCUAUUUUAGAUAUUUUAUGCCGGGUUGGUAUUAAAUCCAACUUUAUAAUUAGAAUAAAUAUAAAAAAAAGAAUACAAUCGAAUUAUAUUUAUAUCCUUAAAAUAAAAGGUUAAUUAACAUAAGGCAAAAUGCAAAUUAGAAUAAUUAUAAAUAAAAAGGUGAAAACGGUUAAUGACAUCUUAGUUAAAGACCGUCGGCAGUUGUAUAUGUCGCUACAGACUGGUUCACCGAGGUUAGACUGAAAUGUCUGUCUAAAUGUACAGUCGGAUUCUGUAAUAUAUUAUAUAUAGAGGUGAAAGAUAGAAACCUAUGAAAAUAGGAGAAAGCUUAUAAGUACAUAAGUAAUAAACCUUUAUGGGUCAAGCCCAUUUAAGUUAAUCAGAAUUGGAAGAUGCCGUAUAUCUGUAGGUUGACAAAAAGACCCUAUGCAGCUUUACUAUAUCUUUAUUUUGAUUUAGAAAUCUUUGUGAUUUUAAGCCUUUUUUUAUUCAUUUCAGUAGAUUAGGUUAUAUUUAUAUGUUAAAUAAAAUGAGAUACCUAUAUAGAUAAGAAAAGAAUCUAAUUAGUAAUUUAAGAAAGAGUAAAGAGGUUAGUUUCGAUGGGGCGUCGACAUCAGCGAAAGCAUCUGAUGUGUCUAAUAAUUAUGGUUUUUAUAUAAAACAAGAUAUUUAAUUAAAUUAUUUAUUUAAUAGUAAAAAACGUACAAUAAUUCUAUAUGGUAAAUAGAAAGAUAAUAAGUAAGGAUAACAACAUAAUUGUGCGAUGAUAAUAACACAAACAAGUGAAAUUAGUACUUAAGUAGAGUGUAAUGAACAGGCAUAAACAAAUGGUAUGGAUGUCGAUAACGAAUUAAAGUUACGCUAGGGAUUAAAUGUUAGUUCCUUUAUAUAGAAAUAUAUAUAUCUCCGCGUAAGUGAGAUAACUUUUUUAAUAAAAGUAUAUAAAUUGGGUGAAUUACAAAGAUCUCUUAUUAAUAAGAUAAUUUGUAGCGAAGUAUAUAUUAGUUAAAUUAAGAUAUAUAAACGUUCAACGACUAGUAAUUGAGUAAACUAACAAUAAUAUUACCACGAGCGCCCAAUACCUAAAUAUAUAAAAAGGUAAAAACAUAGUCUGAACUAUAUAGUAAUAUAUAGAAGUUGAAAAUAAAAAACCAACGAUAACAAAAUUGAACAGGGUAAUACCGCGUGAGAGUAGAUAUCGUCAGCGGUGUUUGCCACCUCGAUGUCGUCUAGACUCAUCCUCCUGGUAGCAGCAACUAGGUAGGGUAGGACUGUUCGUCCUCUAAGGAGUUACUUGAGAUGGGUUAAUUACGACGUGAGUCAGUAAUGAUUUUAUCAUCUAUAGAUCUUUUCUUCUCUGUUGCCUUAAGUGUACGCAAGGAUAAUAAGGUACUUUUCUAUGGUUAAUAAAAAAAUUAGCUAAAAAAGUUGAGUUUAUAUAUUGAAUGCAUAUCAAAUAUUAAAUCCUUCAGAUAAGAUAUUAAACAUUAUAGAUUAUAAUGUAUUAGUUAAUUUGUAUUAUUUGCAAUUAAACUAAUUAAAAUUUAUUCAUAUACCU
rnacentral:rRNA from 1 species